UUGGGAAAGGAGACCCCCUCAGCCCCAUGGACUCACUCCUGCCACUCAUUCCUAUAAGGGCUGGGACUCAGAGGAGUUGCCUGCCUCCUAGGCUGCACCUUCCGCCCUCCAUUGCCAUUGGCACUGACCUUUUCCCCAUUGCCUUCCCUCCCUCAGCCCUGUGGACCUCCUCCUCCUCCUUCGCACUCAGAGCAACCCUUCUCUACGGCUGAGGAUACGGCCUCUGACCCAGGGAAGCUCCGGCCAUAAAGGGCUGCAGAAGAGGCCUUUCUGGGGCUGCAGAAGUCAGGGUCUUUGUGUUGAAGGGACUUCAUCUGAGCCCCUUGUACAGAGCUUUAGGGCAUCUUUUCCUGGAAGUGACCCAAGGGCAGGGCCACCAGGACCCCCUGACCACAUGAUGGCCGACAUGAAGGCCAAGCGGAGGGAGUUGGGGUGCAACAGAAAAAGUCUGCUGAGGUACAACAACUCUUUGGUGACCUUUGCGGAUGUGGCGGUAUAUUUCACCGAGGAGGAAUGGAAAUUGUUGACAAAGAAGCAGAGACUGAUGUACAAUUCUGUGAUGAUGGAAAAUUAUGAAAAUGUGGCCUCUGUGGGUAAGGAA